rnacentral:rRNA from 1 species
GAUGAACGCUGGCGGCGUGCCUAACACAUGCAAGUCGAGCGGUAUAUGGUGGAAUGAAACUUCGGUCGAGUGAAGCCAUAGAGAGCGGCGGACGGGUGAGUAACGCGUAGGCAACCUGCCCCAUACAGAGGGAUAGCCUCGGGAAACCGGGAUUAAAACCUCAUAACGCAGAGAGUUCACAUGGACUAUCUGCCAAAGAUUCAUCGGUAUGGGAUGGGCCUGCGUCUGAUUAGCUAGUUGGUGAGGUAACGGCUCACCAAGGCGACGAUCAGUAGCCGACCUGAGAGGGUAAUCGGCCACAUUGGAACUGAGACACGGUCCAAACACCUACGGGUGGCUG